rnacentral:misc_RNA from 1 species
AUGGAAAGAAAAAGAAGAAUAGCAUGGAUGGAGAUGCUACUACUGGCACAGAAAAGUAAAAUCUUAUGAGAAACUCUGAAGAUGCAAUCUUGCCUCUGCAAAUGCAAAUGACUGAUAUAUCUCCAUACAGGGAGAACACAUUAUGGCUAGUUCUUGUAGUGGAGACCUAGCAAGUAGUGUCAUCAGAUUGUAUACUACAUAUGACAUCUCAUUCCGGCCUUCACUACUUCUUUGCUUGCUUACAUUUUUACCAACUGAUAAAAGUAUCAAACUUGAGUUUAUG